rnacentral:sRNA from 1 species
UAGUCACCCUUGAGUCCACCGCCGGAUGU